rnacentral:tRNA from 1 species
ACUUUGGUAGACGCACAGGACUUAAAAUCCUGGGUCCCUCACCGGACGUGCCAGUUCAAGUCUGGCCCGGGGCACCA